ACUGAGUGUAGCCCUUGUCAUGUUUAUAGCGAAUAAGGAUCCUGGCUGGGACUUUUCUGCUUGUGUUGCUUGAAUUUUCUGGGAAAAGAAAUAUUAUUGGGUUUAAGAUAAUAUGUGGCUACAGGGUCCAAGAUAAUCUCUAAGAAACCUAAGCUUAUCUUGAUUUUGAUCUCCAUGGAAAGGCAUGUACGCUAGGGAGGCCUUAGCCAUUAAAAUUUAUGUAAUGGACAAUCGUGUAAAGGGUUGUGUGUGUAGUUUGAGUUAAAAGAAUUUCACAGGUCUAGGAUGUAAAAAUCAUAGUUAAAAGGAAUUCAUUACAUCUAUGAUGAUGAAAACUUUUCUUUCCAAUCCCCUUCUUGAUAGAUAUUGUCUGUUUUGAAUUUUGGAUUUGAAAAUGUGUUUAUAUAGUGAAGCGGAAUUCCAUAUAUAUAGUAUCAAAAAGUUCUCUUUCUAGUCAAUGUGGGACCUCAUAUUAAGCAGAAUUGAGGGUAUUGCUGAGCAAUGUUAACAUUGAUGAUAAUUCAAUGCUUAAAAAAUGGGUGUGUAUGCAAGUUUUGCAUAGGUAUAGUGCACCAAGACUUAACAUUAGGCCACAAGGCAUAGUUGAUGGGUAACAAAUGAAUACUUUCAUAUUAUCCCUUGUCCUUCUUGAGGGAUGAAGGAGGUUGUGAGGAUAGAUUAAUUGAAAGAUGAUUAUUAUUUUAAAAAUAAAAAUCAGGCCUACGUUUCAAGGUUAAGAAGAGAUAGAAAUAAAACAUCUCGAGCCGAUGCUCAAGUACAUUAUACUAAUGUAACCUUUCUCAUACUCUCAAGUAAUGCAAAACAUUCAUGUGGUAAAAGUUAAUUUUUUUUUCUAAGUUACAAAAAAAGAUGAAAAAAAAAGGCAUAAAAACUUUUGGAUGUAUAUUAAAAUUAGGGUUUAUGAGGAAGAAGGCGAAUUACGAGGUUCUGUGCAGGCGAAGGCGUUGGGUCCACUACAAUCUUCUCAUUUGGAGUGAGCUUCUCCCACUUGAACCUCUUCACCAAAUGAUGCAUGAACACAAGUAAUCUCCAAACGACCAUACUCUUUUCCAGGGAACAUUCGAGGUCCUCCUCCAAACGGUACAAAUGUGUAUGGUGUAGGCUCUCUCCCUUACAAACCUUGAUGGAUUGAACUUUUUGGGGUUUGGGAAGUAUUUAAGUUAUGUUUGGUUCCAAGAAGUACUAAGAAAAUAAAAAAAUAAUAAGAAAAAUGAUUUUCUCAUAUUUGGUUUCAUUAUGAAAAAUAUGAAAGAAAAUAAAAUAUAAUUACAAUUAAUUAAAAAUUUUAUAUAAAAAAUAAUUUAUUAACUUUAUAAGUAUUUUUUAUUUUUCUUCACUUUUUUUUUUCUUUACACUUUUCUUUUAUAUUUUCUUUCUCUUAUAUUUUCCCUUACUUGGGAACCAAAUAUGAUAAAGAAGUAAACGUGGGAAUAAACAAAUAGCAAGACUCAACCACAACUCAUUUGAUAUCAUAUUAAGUUGUUGAUUAAUAUUUAGGUUAUGUUUGGUUCAAAAGUAUUGAGGAAAAAAAAUGUUACGAAAAAUGAUUUUCUAAAAAUUGAGAGAAUUGUUUUCAGAUGAGAUGGACUUAAAAAUUGGCCCAAUAUCUUAUAUCACUUACAUUUAAGCCUAAGACCUAAGUAAAUUGUGAAAAUUGAGUGAAUGAUAUUAUCUUUCAAUAAUAUCUAAAAUGCCUUUAACCUAUUUCUUUUUAUUUUCUCUUUCCUUUUCUAUUUCCAGUACUCUGUUUUCAUUUCCUUUUCUUUUCUUCCAAUCUACAUUUUUAUUUUAUGCCCAUCUCUCAUAAUUAUACUCCCAUUUUCAUUCCAUUAUUAUAUCAUUAACAACCGUUCUAAUUGUUAUUAAUUUUUGCUAAAAUCAUUAAGUUCAAAUCAAGAAACUUAAGAUAAAUCAAGUAACUCUCCUUAUUCAUCAAAAACUUAUUAAAACUAUAAAUAUUUCAUAUGAUUUUAUAUUUUCCUUUCCAAUUGUCACUUCCUAGAUUCAAGCUCUUCUUCCAAUUUCAUUUAAGAAUUAUAAGUGACUAUUUGUUUUCCUCUUCUAUUCCCCUUUAAAUAAAAGCAAUAAUGUUUAUUUAUUUAUUUAUUUUUUUAAGAUAUUGAAUCCUCUUACUUUUAUUAUAAGCAAGGAUAAAAAUUUUGGAAUCGAUAAAUCGACGAUUAAAUUUUGGAAAAAAACACUUGAUACCACUUGAAAAACUACUAAACGUCUAAUAGGGAAAAGGGCAUGAAUGAGUGAUUUAAAAAUUUAAAUAAAAAUUUAUAUAUUAUAUCAAACUUUAUCUCAAGAUAUAUCAAGAUGUCCCAAAUGGAUGAAAAUAAUAUAAUUGUUAAUAUCCAAAAUAUACCAUAAAGGAAAUUGGUUAUAGGUAUAAGAAUCAUACCCUCCAAGAUAACCGACCUAGCAACCUCAAUAAUCAACUAACCAACCAAUAAAAUUUUUAUCAAUAUCAUCAACCAGGAUAUAAGUAGUAAUAAAAAGAUAUGCAGUAAAGUAUAAGAUUUUUACAUGGAAAACUUCCACAAAUUGUGGAAAUAAAAAACCACGAGAUUUAAAACCUACCAAUCUAAAUCCACUAUUCGAAAUCAAAUUACAUGGAUUUAUUUGACCACUUUACCUUAAAAACUUACUUUUUAGCACCUACAACUUGAUCCACAUCCCUGACCAACGACUCCUUGUUGCUCCUUAGUAAAUCUUUCGACCACUUUGAAGGGAUUAAGGUCUUCAACUAAAUAGUCAAAGAAUUGUUUGUCCCCUAAAGGUAUAUACAGAGUGAUCCAUUGAGGAGCUAUCCACAUCUACAAGGUAAUAUGCCUCAUUUCAUCAAGUUUUGCUUACCUCUACAAAGGGUUCCAAACAAUUGGUACGAGGUUGAUCUACGUGCUACCAUCUGGAUCGAAUUCACUUGCAAGUUUCGGAGGAUCUUGGUGCAUGGCUCUAUUCAUCAGCACUAUAAAAAUGCAACAACUUUAGCGAUGACACCUUUUCCUACAGCCAAGAAAAUUGAAAAUAAGGAUUCAUAUUCCUGAUUUUUGUCAUCACUUGAAAAAAUGCAAGUUGUCAAACAGAUAUCUUGCAACCUGAACGGUUUCUCCAGACUGGGAAGGGAAAUCGAAACCCGUUGAGCAAUGCUUCAGCUCUUCAGGAUUUUUCAUCCAAGCUCGGUGUGCAUCGCUCACUUUUAUUUUAUAUUUGAACAUCUGAUAAAAUGAUAAAGAUGGAAAAUGAUACAGAAAAGUGUAUAAAUAGGAAAAUCUUAAUGAAGGAAAAAAAAAAGAGGAUAAACUAAUGCUAUGAAGAAUAAAUUAAACAAACAAAUGAAAGAGAAAGUGUUCUUCAGGGGACAAACCUCAUAAAGCGGGAUGUUUGGUAUCUCCAAUUCUUUGGGGCAAACCAGAUAUGGUUUUGAACUUUAGGAUGUCAGGAAUCCAGUGCUUUAAAUUGAUUUCAAUUCAGAGUUGAAACUAGGGAGAUAUGGUUAAUUGAAGCAAAACUACGCAAAGGGCAUAUAAUUACGAGAUUAAGUUCAGACCAAAUUGUUUUUGGUUAUUUGAGCUUAAUUUUUGGGCCUCUUUUUGAUCUCUAUAGUUUAUAUCCUUCCUAUCAAUAAUAUUAUCUGUGGAAGGAUGUUAAAUGAAUUUCCGAUUUUAAAAUAAGUUUAUGAUUCAAAAAUAAAAUUUAAAAUUUAUAAUUUUAAAUUAAGAUUAUGAUUUUGAUUAAAAUUUAUGAUUUGAAACUAAUUUUCCAUUUUUUAAAUAAUUUUAUGAUUUUAAAAUAAAAUUUUGAUUUUAAAAUAAUAUAUAAAUUAUUAUUUUAAUUUUUGUAACUAUUUUUAAUUUUAAUAAUAUAUUAUUUAUAUAAUUAUGACAUCAUCAAUUCGAUUAUAGUUUGACUGUCAGUCUGAUGAAUAAACCAUGAAUUGAUAACUUUUAUAAUUCAACGAUCGGUGAAAGUAUUGGUGUUAAGGGACAUAACAACUUUGAAGGGUACGUUGGUCUCUCUAAAGUUUAUAUCCUUCUUAUCAAUUGACAAUUAUAUGAUUUUGAAGGAUGUUUGACCCAUUAUGAACAAGUGGACUCCCUUAAGCACAAUUCUCCUCCAAAAAAAAUCUAGCGUUGCCGUCUACUCCAUGUUCAUAUCUCCUUAGAACAACCGUAGAAAAAUGAACACCCAUCAUAACUGGUGGCAACAAUCAUAGCAUUGCCGUCAAUUAUUUCCUUUUUUUUUUCUUCGCAAAACUGGAAUUUUAUGACUUGUCCACCAUCUAAAUUAAUUUUUUUUUGCUUUGAUUGCGACUUUAAUUUAAUUUUUUUUGCUUUGAUUGCGACUUUAAUUGGACGUACGUGUUGGGAAAAAUUGGUGAAAAGUCACUUAAACAUGACUACACACCAUGCGUUAGUCAAUACAAUUUAAAUGCUAUAUAACUAAUUGAUGUAUCUAUCAGGGACCGUCCCUGGACUCCCAAAAUAAUUUUCUAAAAAUGUAUAAAUUUAUGUUACAAGAUUCAUAAUUGAAUUUAGAAAUCAAUUUAUAUAUAUAGAGAUUGACUUGGUGAUUGACUUGGUGUUGUGCUUCUAUAUGAAUGAGCGAUUCCCUCCUGGAACUCGCCAUUCCAAGUUUCUGAAGUUUCUCUCUUCUCUGCCCACCCAGCACCCAUCUCUCUGUCCUUGGUCUGUAUCAUUUUAACUUAAUUUUACUGCAAAGAAAAGCUUGUCUUACCUUUCUGGUGAUUGCAUGAUCAGCAGGUGUUUUCGGAAGGGAGACACAUAUUUGUAAACUUAGAGAUAUAUCUCGUCAGUUUGGUGAGUUAGAAAAUGUGGAGGCUGAAGGUUGCAGAUGGAGGCAAUGAUCCCUACAUGUACAGCACCAACAACUUCGUGGGAAGACAGAUAUGGGAGUUUGAUCCUGAUUAUGGAACCCCAGAAGAGCGAGCUGAGGUCGAAGCAGCUCGUGAAAAUUUCCGGAAAAAUCGGUUUCCUGUUAAGCCCAGCAGUGAUCUUCUCUGGCGAAUGCAGGUGAUCCCAUCUGUGUCAAAAUAUGCACUAGAUGAGUUAUCCUACUUCUUUAAUUAGUUAAUUUAAUACACUGAAGAAUAACAUAAUGAGAAAGGGCCAAGUGGGCAUAGGGUGAACACCUUGAGCUUAGAUUAAUUACUUAGUCUUGUUCUAGCUUACGUCUUCAACUUCUUAUACGUACUAGAUGAGUGCAUAUAUAUAAACAACAUGUGAAAUGAAGUAGUAUAUGGAAAAAUUGAGAAAGGAAAUUGAAAAGAUAGAUGUUAAAGUCUUUUAAUAGAUGGAAAGAGAGAAGGAAAACAUGAAUUUUGGAGUUAUGCUUUGUGCAGAGGGUUUGGGUUAACUUCAUGCUGUACCCUAAACCCAAAUCCAGCCCAGCCCAACUGAAUUGGACAGAUCUAAAGCCCAUUGGGCAGAGAGGGCUUCUGUGACAACCCAUAUAUAUAGAAAAUUUAGUACUUGAAUUAGAGCUGUUUUGAUCUUAGUCCAUCCUAUAUUUAUUGUGCGUGUAUGUCUUUAAUUGGUAGAGAGACUACAAUCUUUUCAUAUUUAAAGCCAGAAGCAUUCUCUUCAAUGAUUCUUCGAACUUCAGGAAGAAACAAGAACCGAACCUAUUGUUGUUUUUUUACUGUUUUUAUUGUUAUUACCUACUAUUAUGUCAUGAUCAUGGUCAUCAGUAUGUUAGGUUUUUAGUUGCUUAUAGAACAUUCAUUUGUUUUGAGGUUUGGAGUGCUUUUGCAUUGAUGCUAAUUAAUGAAGAUGUCUUUUGCAAAGCUUUCAAAUGGGUUUCUGAGUGCAUAUGAUGCUAAAAGAGAGAUGUUUUAGAAAUCGAGCUUAGUUAUGAUGCUAAUCUCCAAAUUAACUUGAUAUGCCAAAAUAUUCUUGUGCAAGAAAUGCUAGAUUGUAUACUUUGAAAAAAAUAGCUCACAAACUUGAGAGAUAUAGACUUCUUUUAUGUUGAGGUUUUAUCCAAGUUCCUCAAUAAAAUGAGAUCAAACACCAAUUUAAGCAAACAAAGAAAAAAAUUCUAGAAAUAAGAAAAAUAGAGCAAGACAAGCAGAAUUUAUGUGGUUCGGAUCCAAAAUUGGAAUCCUACAUCUACGAAUCAAGAUCACCUCCAAAAAUUCACUAAGAAUGAACCAUUUUACACCCUCUGGAAUCUCUGAGAAUUUUCAAGCUCUACAUAGUACAACGAAGAAGAUUCAAACUAUGAAAUCCUCUCACACUUGUUCUGUAAAUUAGAAAACUCACACCUCUGUUCUGUUUUUUUUUUCUACUUCCUUCACCCUUUUAUACAAGUACAUGGAAAAACUAAACGAAACAGGUAUGCUUUCAAUUAGUUAAUCAGCUAACUUUGCUUACGUGGCCAAUCAAUUUUUGGACCACCAAAUUCCACAUUUUAUUUUUCAAAGCAGGAAGAGAAAUGAAAAAUAAGUUGUAUGGUUGGUUUUAGAAGUUUUCAUGUUCAAGUAAAAAACAUGUUGGAUAUUGACACUUCUCUAGCAGACCUUGGGCAUGCUUUGAACACACUGUACAUGUGUUUCAAGGAUUUAAGUUUGUAAUUUCAUUGCAUUUCUUAUUUAUGUUUGCAUUUUGACUUAUUUAUAUUUCUAACCUUUUCUUUCUGAAAUAUAGUUUGCAAGGGAGAACCCAUGUGCCUCAAACUUGCCACAAAUCAAAGUUCAAGAUUUGGAAGAAGUGACGGAGGAGGUGGUGACGACUACCUUACGAAGGGGCUUAAAUUUCUAUUCAACUAUGCAGGCACACGAUGGUCAUUGGCCAGGGGAUUAUGGGGGUCCUAUGUUUCUACUACCCGGAUUGGUAAGAGCUGACUUUUUGAAUGGCACAUGUUCCUCCAUUUGUCAAUUAACUAAUGCUAUUUGUCAGGGUUGAAUAUGGUGAGAACCCUUUUUAUUUUUUCAUCUGAUAAUCUCAUUUCAUCUCUAUUGAACUUUAUGCAAGUCUUUUCAGAACCCAAUGGAGAAGGCCAAAUAUAAUUUUUUUUAUUUCUAUAUAUGAUUUAUUCAUGUGUCUCAAUUUCCAUUUUAUCUAAUCCUUAUUUCCUCAUUGAAUAUGUGACAAUUGGGUGACAAAAUUGCAACAGGUCAUUACUUUAUAUAUUACAGGAGCUCUGAAUGUUGUCUUAUCAAUAGAACAUCAACGUGAGAUGUGCAAAUACCUUUUCAAUCAUCAGGCAAGAUUGUUUUCCUAUAUUUUGGCACUCUUAAAGUAUUACGGUCUUUCGUUGUUGUUAAACUACCACUUGCACAAGAACUUUAGCUUUUGGGUUAAACGGUAGUCUAACAUAAUAUUAGAGUUCUGGUUCCAUGAUCUGAUACGAUGUUAAGCUUUUCUACAAGUGUAGUUUAAUUGUCACUUCUCUUUCAUUUUACAGGAUUCAGGAAUCUGAUGACAGAGAUAUUAAAAUAAAUUAUUGUGUUGUCAUAAUUUUCUUUUGAUAUCAUUUUGAGACUAGUACUUUCUCAACAUUAUUAUUUCUACAUACUCAUGUCAAGUGCUAUUGUUUUGAUGGGAAGCUACAAAAUUCAACCAAAUGAAGCCUUUUACCAUUUACUUGGCUAGCUCUGGCAUUGCUAGUGAAGAAACAAAAGCAAUUAAAGGGAUAACACAUUUUGUUGCAGAACAAAGAUGGAGGUUGGGGGCUACACAUUGAGGGCCCGAGCACCAUGUUUGGUACUGUGCUAAGCUAUGUUACUCUAAGAUUGCUUGGUGAAGGAGGUUUUGGUGUAGAAGGAGCAAUGGAAAAAGGGCGAAAAUGGAUCUUGGACCAUGGGGGUGCAACUGCAAUAACUUCUUGGGGGAAAAUGUGGCUUUCUGUAUGAACUCAAAUUUUUUUGGCUUGAGCUAAAAUAUUAAUUGUUUUGUAAUUGUGAGUUGACAUUUGAUAUGCUUCUGAUGGCCAUAGGUACUUGGAGCAUAUGAAUGGUCUGGGAAUAAUCCACUCCCACCAGAAGUGUGGCUAUGUCCUUACAUUCUUCCAAUUCAUCCAGGUCUCUCUCUCUCACUCUGUGUGUGUGUGUGUGUAAAUAUAAAUAAGAAGUUAUUAAUCAUACCAACUUGAUGCAUAACAAAGAUCCUAACUAGUGGGGAAAGUCAAAUGGCUAGAAAAUAUAAGUGGAGAUGAUUGUAACACAUAAUGAAGGAUUAGAGAAUUAAAUUUGCUUUUGGACUACUAGGACAAGAAUCUUAUGUUAGAGAAAAGUUGUAGUAUCUAAUUUUAUUCUUCAUGUUAGAGAAUAGAAGCAAACUAUGGAGCAGGGAGAUUUCUUUAAAUAGAAUCAUAGCCUUUGAAAGGGCUAGUUUAAUUAUUAUUUUUUAAAUAUUUUCCGCUCAUAUGGGUUUUUGCUAAUUUUAUUUAUAUUUUUGGGGAUUUUCCCCUAAAGUGUCGUCUUUAUUCCUUAAUUCAUUACCAUCAAAGCUUUAACUGAUUGUUUAAUUACUUUGCUCAUGUUUUUUUCUCCUCUGUUAACAGAACUGCGUUCUGUUUCCACUAUAUUAAAGAUUUUAAUUUUAUUCUCCUUGACAAACAAGUUACCAAUAAAUUAGGCAGCUUUUCAGGUUGAUUUUAUCUUGCUGCAAGCAGGAUUUUAUUUGUUGGUGGUAAACUUUUAAAUUUUUAUCUAUAGGACGAAUGUGGUGUCAUUGCAGAAUGGUGUAUUUGCCCAUGUCGUACAUAUAUGGGAAGAGGUUUGUUGGUCCAAUUACACCUACAAUUAUUUAUUUGAGAAAGGAGCUGUACAUAGUCCCUUAUCAAGAAGUAGAUUGGAAUAAAGCCCGCAAUCAAUGUGCCAAGGUUGGUUAGCAUAUUUUCUCUUUCCGAACUCAUGCUUUGAACUUUUGCCAUCCCCUUAUGAUGCUAUUUUAGCUCUUGUACUCUGCUUCUGAUCAACAUCCUUGCAUAUUUGGAUGAUCUACAAGUUUAUUCCCUGAAAGUUUAUCCUAUUAGUUGCUGAUAGAUUUUAUGUUAACUAUCACUGAGAUGUCUAUAAGUUUCUCUCCAUUUUGAAGCAUACUUGUAUCUAUUAGAAGAUCAAGGACAAUAUCUAUUAGAAGUAAUUUUCCCCAUGUCUUGAUCUCAUCUCUCCUGUUCCAAGGAGAUAUUGUAACACACCCGUACCUAAUCAUGUAGAUAUUGUCUGCUCUGGGCCCAAAGGGGUCCUCACGACUUUAAAACAUGUUUACCAAGUUAAGAGGAGCCUCUAGAUAUAUAUCAUCAGGUACUUUCUCCCUGUUCGAUGUGGGAUAUCACAAACACCUCCCAUGCAGACAUAAUGUCCUCGUUGUGGGGCUAAACAGACAAAUACUCUAUGCGGGGCCAAAAAAAUCCCCACACCAGGGUUGGGGAUUGACUCUGAUACCAUUUGUAACAACCCGCUCCCAAUCGUGUAGAUAUUGUUUGCUCUGGGUGUAAAGAGGUUCUCAUGACUUUAAAACACGUCUACAAGGUUAAAAUGAGCCUCUACAUAUAUAGCACCAUAAACUUUCUCCCCUAUGUAGACACAACGUCUUCAUUGUGUUCCAUAGGAGUGCGGGACCUAAUAGACUAACACCCUCCUAUGAGGCCAAACAAACCUCCACACUAGGGUUAAGGAUUGACUUUGAUACCAUUUGUAAUGACCCACACCCAAUUGUAUAGAUAUUGUUUGCUCUGGCCCAAAGGGGCCUUCACGACUUUAAAACACGUCUAUAGGGUUAAGAGAAGCCUUUACAUAGAUAGCACUAAGAACUUUAUCCCAUAUUCGAUGUGGGACAUCACAAACACCCCCCAUGCAGACACAACAUCCUCAUUGUGGGGCCAAAUAGAUAAAUACCCCCUAUGGGGCCAAACAAAUCCCCACGUUGGGGUCGAGGAUUGACUCUAAUACAAUUUAUAACGACAUGCUCCAAAUCGUGUAGAUAUUUUUUACUCUAAAUCCAAAAUGAUCCUCAUGGUUUUAAAACACGUCUACAUGGUUAAGAGGAACCUAUACAUAUAUAGCACUAGGAACUUUUUCCUCUAUUUGAUGUGGGACAUCACAAACACCCCCCAUGCAGACAGAACACCCUCGUUAUGGGGCCAAAUAGACAAAUACCCCUUUGGACCCAGAGUAGACUAUUUCUACAUGCUUGGGAACGAGUAAUUACAAAUGGUAUCAAAGCUGAUCCUUGACCCUGGUGUGGGGAUUUGUUUGGUCCCGUAGAGGGUAUUUGUUUAUGAUGUUGUGUUUAUAUGGGGGGUGUUUGUGAUGUCCCACAUCGGAUAAUGAAGAAAGUUCCUGGUGCUAUAUAUGUAGAGGCUCCUCUUAACCCUAUUGACGAGUUUUAAAUUCGUGAGAGCCCCUUUAGGUUCAGAGUAAACAAUAUCUACAUGGUUGGGUGCAGGUCAUGACAAUUGGUAUCAGAGUUGAUUUUUGACCCUAGUGUGGAGUUCUUUUUUUUUUUUUUUUUUGUUUUUUUUGUCAUUGUCUAUUUUAACUCCAUGUGAAGUUUACUAUAUUCAACAUUUUAAAAAAAAUUAUUUAUUUAUUUAUUUUUUAUUCCAAUAGAGAUAAUAUUUUUAGACUAAAGCUUCUAAGGUUCCUUGAUCAAUUCUUUCUUCUGCAAAAAUAAAAAUAAAAAUAAUUAUUCUUUAUGGUGGCUUUGAUUACAUGUGUAUGACCCAUUUUAAAAUAUAAUAUAAGCAUUUUAUCAAUAUGUAAUUCAAUGUGUUUAUUGGCAGUUUGGCUAGUUAGGUGUAGAUGUUAAAAUAAUAUCAAUACUUUGCAGAUAUUAAUUAGGAUGUCUAACAUAUUAUGAACACCAUGAUUUUCAUUUGUCAUUGAAAAAGAUCUCGAAAGUAAGGUUAUGUUCCUGAAUUUGGGAAUUUAAUGGAAAUUUACAAUGCAGCACAUGAAUCUUUUUAUAUAUAAAUUUCAUGUAUUUCCUAUUGAGUUGUGGAUUGCACUGGUACUUUAUGAAUAAUAACUAUAGGGGUUGGUUAUUUUUUUUUCUAAGCAUAUUGUUGAGUAGCCAAGGGUCUAAGAGAAGUUUUUUGGUUGUUGUGAAAAGAAAUAGGUUCUCUUGUAAAGAUGAGCCAAUCUUUUGAAACUUGUUGAGAAUCUCAAUCAGAUCGUUUUUUUAUUAUUUGGUUGUUACCUAUUUUUUAGGGAUAAUUUGUUGUAUUUUUUUAGGGCUAAGUUGUAUAUUUUAAAUUUAUUUUAUUCCUAAAAAUCUGGGUGUACAAUUGUAGAUUUAGUUUUAUUUGUUGUAGCUUAUCUAUAAAAGGAAACAUGUUUCCUUUCCUUAUUCAAUUAAUAUACGAUUUUUUUUUACCCUAUUCUAGAUGGUAUUAGAGAUAGGUUAAUUGGUUAUUCCCUUUCUUUUUGCUCUUAUUAUUUUUUAGUUCUAUUCUUCUUCCCUUUCCUUUUCUAUUUCUAUCACUUUACCAUGUCAGAAAUUUACGAAUCUACUCAUUCCAUUACUACUAGUUCCAAUUCCUCAAAAUUACCCACAUCCAAUUCUCAUUCCCACUCUGCCCAAAUCACCACAUUAGCCUUAAUGAGACCAAUUUUCUCAGAUGGUCACAAUAUGUUUGGAUGUACAUAAGGGGUCGAGGUAAAAUUGGUUAUUUGACUUGUGACACCAAAGAACCAACAAAUACCGAUUGUAGCUUUGCCACUUAGGAUGCAGAAAACUCCAUGAUCAUGGCAUGACUGGUAAAUUCCAUGAAAGAGAAGAUUAGCUCGAGUUAUAUGUGUUAUCCUACUACCAAAGCUCUUUGGGACAACAUUAUUUAGAUGUAUUCAGACAUUGGAAAUCAGUCCUAAAUCUAUGAGUUACAACUUAAACCGGGCAAUAUUCGUCAAGGUGAGAAUUUGGUUACCAAAUAUUUUAAUGUGCUUAGGGGUUUAUGGUAGGGUCUUGACUAAUUCGAUGACUAUGAGUGGAAAAAUCCGGUUGAUUUUAACUAUUUUAAGAAGAUGGUAGAAAGUUCACAGAUAUUCAAAUUUUUAGUUAGACUUAAUGUUGGGUUUGAUGAAGUUUGAGGUAGAAUCAUUGGUCGACAAUCUCUCACUUCUCUAGGUGAAGUGUUCUCUGAAGUGCGUUGAGAGGAAAUUCAGAGGAAUGUUAUGCUUGGGAAGAAGCUCUUUGGACCUAUGGAAAACUCAAGCUUAUUUGGCAUUGCAACAUGGGCUUCUUGCAAUCCUAAUAACCAAUGUUGUUCAGAUUACAAGCUAAAAGUUUGGUGUGAUCAUUGUAAUCAACCAAGACACACUUGUGAAACCUGUUGGAAAUUACAUGGGAAGCCAACUGGUUGGAUGCCGGUUGAAUGGAAGACUAAUAAGCAAGGUGACCCUACUUGUUUCCCUACUGAGACACCCUCAUUGAGCAAAAAACAAUUAGAUUAACUCCUACAACUAUUGAAACCUGCUCCGCCGAAUCUUGGUACUUCUAUAGCAUCUCUAACUUAAUCAGAUAGCCUUUCAUGUGCAUACUCUUUCAUUAUUUGCACCUUGGAUCAUAGAUUUAGGUGCCUUUGACCAUAUAACUAAUUUAUCUCAUUUGUUUAUCUCUUAUACACCUUGUUUUGGAAAUAAAAAAAGUAUUUAUUACAGAUGGAAGCUUAUCUUCUAUUGCUAGGCAAGGCUCUAUUCGUUUGUCUAAUAAGAUUAUUUUACAAUCCGUUUUAUAUGUCCCAAGACUCUCUUGUAAUCUUUUAUCCGUAAGUCGCUUAUUUAAGGAUUCUAAUUGUCAUGUUGUUUUUUGUGCCUCUUUUUUAUGAAUUCUAGGAUUUGAACUCAGGGAUGAUGAUUAGUAGUGCUAGGUUGAUCAACAAUCUCUACUAUUUUGAUGACAACUAGUUUGAGAAUAAACAAGCUCAGGGUUUUAUUGGUAGUGUUUGUUCAAUCCCUAUGCUUGAUCAAAUAAUGCUAUGGUAUAACAUAUUAGGACGUCCUAGUUUUUUUUAUUCAAAACAUUUGUUUCCAGGUUUAUUUAAAGGAUUGGAUUGUACUUAUUUUGAUUGUGAAACUUGUUUUUUUGGCCAAAAGCCAUCACAUUUCUUAUAAAAUAAAACUGUAUUGUGCCUCAAAGCCUUUUUCUUUGAUACAUAGUGAUGUUUGGGGUCCUUCUAGGAUUGCUACUUUAAUAGGGAAAAAAAUGGUUUGUGACUUUUAUUGAUGAUCACAAAUGCCUAUGCUGGCUUUAUCUAAUGAACUCUAAAUUUGAGGUUGCAAAACUUUUUCAGGAUUUUUAUUUUAUGGUUGAAAACCAAUUUCAAACCAAAAUAAGUAUUCUUCGGAGUGACAAUGGAAUAGAAUUUUAUAAUGAUUGUUUAGGUGAUUUUUUUUUAUUUAUAGAGAAAGGUAUUUUACAUCAAUCAACUUGUAAGAACACUCCUCAACAAAAUGGAAUUGUAGAACGUAAAAACAGAUAUUUAAUUGAAGUAGGUAGAGUUCUUAUGUUUCAUAUGAAUGUUCCCACACACCUUUGGGGAAUGCAAUUUUAACAAGUUGUUUUUUGAUUAAUAAAAUGCCUAAAAGGGUUCUAAACUAUGCAACACCUUUACAAACUCUUAAGAAUACUUUUCCAAACACACACCUCACUUCAAAUUUACCCUUCAAAUUUUUGGCUGUAUAGUGUUCGUCCAUGUGCUAACUCAUUUCGGAUCUAAAUUUGAUCCAAGAAACCAAAAAAUGUAUUUUUCUAGGUUAUUCUCCUAAUAAAAAAAGGUAUAAGUGUUUUAAUCCUACCACUAGGAAAAUUCAUGUUAGUAUGGAUGUCAACUUUAUUGAAAAUAUAUAUAUAUAUAUAUAUAUAUAUAUAUAACAAAACUACUCUUCAGGGGGAAAGCUCUAAUGAAGAUUAGUUUUGACAACAAGAACAACCAAAACCUAGUAUUUUUGUUCCUAACAUAUAAAAAAAAGAUGUUUUAAUUAGUGAAAAAGAGGGAAAUACUAAUUUAUUUAUGCCAAAUAAAAUUGCAUCACAAAUAGAGGGAGAAACUCUACAACCUAUCUUCAUUGAGUUUCAUGUUUAUACUAGGCAUAGGUUUAAUUCUAAUACUAAGAAUAAUGAAGUCAAUCUUGAGCAUAGUCAAUCAUCAUCUCCUAGUUCUCAAAAUCUAGGUAAUCUUCCUAUGGACUUCACUCUUUUACCUCUUUCUGAUCUUGAUAUCCCUAUUGCAAUCUGAAAAGGAGUUGGGAAUUGUACUAACUAUCCCAUUGCCAAAUAUCUGUCUUAUUAAAGACUCUCAAAAAAAUAUAGAGCUUUCACUUCAAAUAUUUCACUUAUUCAUUCCUAGAACUAUACAGGAAGCACUAGGACACUCGAAGUGGAGGUUAGUAGUUCAAGAAGAAAUGAAUGCUCUUUUGAAAAAUAGAACACGGGAAAUUAUUGAUUUACCUAAGAAGAAGAAGAAAAUGGGAUGCAAGUGGGUUUUCACAAUCAAGUGUAAGCCCGAUGGUAGCAUUGAAAGAUAUAAAGCAAGGUUAGUAGCCAAAGGUUUCACAGAAACCUAUGGAAUUGAUUACCAAGAGACCUUUGCCCUUGUUGCAAAGAUUAAUUCCAUUCAGUUUUUACUUUCUCUUACAGUACAUUUUAAUUGCCCUUUACACCAAUUAGAUGUGAAGAACACUUUCUUAAAUGGUGAUUUGGAGGAAGAAGUGUUUAUAGAUUUACCACCGGGUUUUGAAGAAAAGUUAGGAAAAUAAAAGUUUUACAAAUUAAAGAAGUCCUUGUAUGGUCUUAAGUAGUCUCUUAGGGCUUGGUUUGAGAGAUUUGGAAAGGUAAUCAAGCUUCAAGGAUAUAUUCAAAGUCAAGCCGACCUUACAAUGUUUUAUAAACACUUAAGAGAAGGAAAGAUUGUUGUGUUGAUAGUUUAUGUGGAUGAAAUUACACUAACUAGUGAUGACAGUCUAGAACUUGAGAGAUUGAAGAAAGCUUUAACUCAUUAAUUUAAGAUAAAAGAUUGAGGUCCCCUGAAAUACUUUCUUGGUAUGGAGUUUGCUAGAUCCAAGAAAGGUAUUUUCAUUUCUCAAAGAAAAUAUAUACUUAACUUAUUAAGUGAAAUGGGUUUACUUGGAUGUAAGGUUGUAAAAACUCCUAUAGCACCAAAUUUGAAACUCCAACCAGCAAGUCCAAUAGAGGUGAUUGACAAAGAGAAAUAUCAAUGCCUAGUUGGGAGACUUAUUUAUCUCUCAUACUCGUCCUGAUAUUGCAUUUUCGGUAAGCAUGGUGAGUCAAUUCAUGCACUCACCAAAUUAGGAACACUUUGAUGUUGUGUACAGAAUUUUAAGGUACUUACAAGGGACUCUAGGAAAAGGACUUCUAUAGGAGAACCGAGGACAUCUCCAAGUGGAUGUGUUUAUUGAUGUAGAUUGGGCAAGAAGUAUAAUUGAUAGGAGAUCAAUUUUGGUGUAUUGUACUUUUAUUGGAGACAGUCUUGUGACUUGGCAGAGUAAAAAGCAGAGUGUUGUGGCUAGAAGUAGUGCUAAAGCUGAGUUUAGAGCUAUAGCUCAUGACAUUUGUGAAGUUUUGUGGAUUAAACAAUUACUUGAAGAACUUAAGGCUGCUAGCCCUUUACCUAUGAAGGUCUUUUGUGAUAAUAAAGCUGUCAUUGCCGUUGCACAUGAUCCAAUACUCCAUGAUAGAACUAAACAUGUCGAGGUUGACAAACAUUUUAUCAAGGAGAAACUGGAAAAUGGACUGAUUAUUAUACCUUAUAUGCCUACGGUUGAACAAGUUGCAGAUAUACUCACUAAGGGAUUGCCAAAGAAGCAGUUUGAUGAUUUAGUAAGUUGCCAUGAAUGACAUCUUCAAACCAACUUGAGGGGGAGUGUUAAGAAUCUUAAUUAGAUCAUAAUUUUUUUGAUUUGGUUGUUACCUAUUUUGUAGGGAUAAUCUGUUUGUUACCUAUUUUGUAGGAAUAAUCUGGUUGUUACCUAUUUUUUAGGGAUAAUUUGUUGUUGUUUUUUAAGGAAAAGUUAUUUUUGUUUUUUAGGGAUAACUUGUAUGUUUUAAAUUUAUUUUGUUCCUAGAAAUCUGGGUGUACAACUAUAGAUUUAGUUUGAUUUGUUGUAGCUUAUAGCUUAUCUAUAAAAGGAAGCAUGUUUCCCUUCCUUAUUCAAUUAAUAUAAGACAUUUUUUUCUCUCCCUAUUUUAGAAAACUAAUUCACCUAAUGAAGAAUGGGAGUCUAUUGUAUGUAACUUACAACUAAAUUCUGGUUUUUGUUGUGGUUCAACUGUUAUAUUUCCUUAAAAUUCUAAAUCAAGUCAACCAGAAAUAUACAUUUCAAUUAAUUUGUAUCAUUUUUCUCCUUGGAGUUUAUUUGAUUUGCAGUUUCAUGAUGAUGACAUCAUUUUAAUAAGCAUUUAAGAAGGAAAUUUAUGAAGAAGAUCAAUUGCAUCUUUCUUAUGCUUUUGGCUCCCAGUUGAUUUUGAUAUUUGUCUUUACAAUUAUUGCCAGGAAGAUCUAUACUAUCCACAUCCACUGGUUCAGGAUAUUCUAUGGGCAUCUCUUCACAAGGUGCUUGAGCCUAUUCUGGGGCAUUGGCCCGGAAACAAGUUGAGGGAGAAGGCUUUAUGCACUGUAAUGCAGCAUGUACACUAUGAAGAUGAGAAUACACGGUAUAUAUGCAUAGGGCCUGUGAACAAGGUACAUGUGAAGUAUAGAAAGGUCCUUUGAACUGCAAUAAAUGUGCUGAUUACUAAGUUCUAUAAAUGUACCGAUUACUAUUAAUUAAGAACUAAACCAGUUAGCUUCUUUGAUUCUACCACUCUACUCAGGUGCUCUUGAUCUAAUUGUCUGUUCUUUUCUGUUCCAUGAAGCUCUUGAUUUCCUAUUAUCUGAUUUGUACAGGUGUUAAAUAUGCUUUGCUGCUGGAUUGAAGAUCCAAACUCAGAGGCCUUUAAGUUGCAUAUUCCAAGAAUUUUUGAUUAUUUGUGGAUUGCUGAAGACGGCAUGAAAAUGCAGGUCUGUAAGUAGUAUUAGUCUCUUUCUAGUUUAUCUCAGCGUGCCAUUUCCAUUUUAUAUGUUACAGAGAAUUGUGAUAUUACUUUUUCUGGUGGAUGUAGCCAUUUAUAGUGGCUGUAUCCAUUCAUAGUGGCGUGUUGUAAAGGCAGAUUUUGUAUUUUAUUCCUUGGAAAUUAUUGAAUUUUAUUAUCUAUCUGUUUACUGCAGGGUUAUAAUGGAAGUCAAUUAUGGGAUACUUGUUUUGCUGUUCAAGCAAUUAUUUCAACAAACCUAGGUGAAGAGUAUGGUCUGACUUUAAGGAAGGCACACCAAUUCAUAAAAAAUUCUCAGGUUCAUGUUGCUAUUGAAGUUUGAUCUCAUAAAUCACCUACAUAUGUUAGCAGUUGUCCAUAAUGAUUUUACUCAACUAUUCCUACUUUGUUUUCAAGGUCUUAGAAGAUUGUCCUGGAGAUCUCAAAUUUUGGUAUCGUCACAUUUCCAAAGGUGCUUGGCCAUUCUCAACUGCUGAUAAUGGAUGGCCCACCUCUGAUUGUACAGCAGAAGGAUUGAAGGUAACAACUGAACUAACUCAAAAUACUUGUUAUACGGACAUUUUUAUUGUUUAUUUCUCUUGUGCAGGUUGUUCUAUUAUUAUGUAAACUUCCAUUGGAAACAGUUGGGGAACCGUUAGAUAUGGAGCAGUUGUUUGAUGCUGUAAAUGUUGUCCUUUCAUUACAGGUAUGGACAUAUUGAGUGGGUAUAGUUAUGGGUGUUGGAACUAUGAGUGUUGUUGCAUUUUAUAAUUAGGAUUUUCGAAAGUGCAGAAUAUAGUCUAUAUUCACGGCAGUGGUCAAAUAACUUUGUAUGCGUGGUUUGGAGUAACUUUAUAGACAUAGAUUCCUCUUCUAUACAAAGCUUUACACAUUCUGAAAAGCUGCACGUAAAAAGGGAUUUGAGCGAUUUUCAAAUAUCUUCCAAUUUCUCUCCUGCCAAAUUGUCAAAAAAAGAUUUUACAAUACUUGUAUACUGCAAAUUUAUUCCAAAAAGUAUAUAACUUCAUAUCAGAUUUUACAAUACUUGUAUACUGCAAAUUUAUGCUUGUUGGUUGAAACUUGUUUUUGAAUCUUGCUAGCAUACCUAAAAUGGGAUUCUCAACUCAAGUUUUGUGUUGAAGGUUUUUACAAGUGUGUGCUUUGGGAACCAGUUAUAAUUCCUUGUUCAGCCUGUUCUCCCGUCUUUUCUGAUUAUCAAUAUUUAAGAUUCCCUGCUGUCUGACUUCAGGUGAGUGUAGUACUGAUUUUAUAGCUUUUUCCUUGGAAUCUCAACAGAAUGCAGAUGGUGGUUUUGCAACAUACGAAUUGACAAGAUCUUACCGAUGGUUUGAGGUAACUUUGAUAAAUGCUAAUGCCAUUUUAUUAGUUUCACCUGAAGUUGCCCCAUGAAUGUAGCAUAUACAGUCCAAGACACAUUUCCUGUCAAUAAGUAGGAAAUUGGGUUCCAAAUGAAUGUCCACAUUAAAAGCAUCCAUGUGAAAAGUUUCACUGAGUAUUCUAGAUUUCUGGCUCUCUUUUUGUGAUUUUUGGUAAUGAAUUCAGUGUUCUAUAAAUUCUGUUUUUUUUUGGUCAUUCUAAAUCAUUCUUCCUUUUAGCAAUUAAUCCUUGUGCUUUUCCAUCUUAUUGAUGAUUAUUGAACCAGGGUAGAAAAAAUUUCACAAACUAUGUGGACCUUAAAGAUAAAGAAAGUUCCAUAUACCAUAACUAGGGAACAAGAUGAUGUAAACUAUUGUGACCUUACUUCCCAUGGAGAAGCCUGCUCCACAGUUGAUUCUCUAAAUAAAAUGAGUUGUCAUCUAGUUUUAUGAGUGAAAGGAAGGUGAGAUGGGCUUGUUAUUGAAAUCCAAAGAUAGAUGGAAUCGGAUUUUUUUUUCUUUCCCUCUUUUUUCUUUCUUUCUUUUUUUCUUCAAGGCAAAGUUGCACUUGAAACAACACCUUGAUUUGCUUAUUGAUUGAGGAAGGUCAUAUUACAUACAACAACUCCAUUGCUACUUGAUAAUAUGUGUGGGAUUGGAACCAUUAAGUGGUAUGUCAUACUCCGGAAUCUGCUAUAAUUUGGAAAGACUUGCUUAAGUCACUUAGGUCAUUUUUGGAUUGGUUUUUUGUGAGUCAAAAGUUCUUCUUUAAGUCUAGAAAAGAGCUUAUAUGUGUUUGGAUAAUUUUAGAAAAGCUGCUUCUAAGUUUAGAAGCUUAACAAAAAGCAAUGGCAAUGUCACUUCUUAUAAAGCCAUUCUUUUAAGCUUGUAUUGUACGUUAUUUUAUUUUUAAUGAAACUUUCAUGAUUCCAAGAUUGCCAUUUUAAAAUCAUGGGUUCAGCAUCUUGCUAAAGCAAGAAACUAUCCCAACGAGACCUUAGAUAGAUACUAUAUGUCAUAAGCUUCAUUUGAAUAAUAGAAUGUCUUCUUUCCAAUAUUUUUUUUUUUGGAUAAGUGAGCACAAAUUAAAUUAAAGGGCAAGAAGUCACAAAGCAUACAGGGAGUAUACAACGCAGCCAAAUCCAAAAACAAAAGAAACAAGCAGCCUCACUGGCCUUUAAGUAGCCGCUGGCCACUCCAAAAAGACUAAAAGCGAAGAGGACUCCUCUCCCAUGUACACUCUAGCCCAACUCCACAAGUUACAAACAAAAUAAUUUUUGAGUUUCUGUAUAUCCAAAGAACCCCCCUAAAGGCUAAUCUAUUUCUUUCCUUCCAUACCGUCCAAAAAAUACACAACAGGAUGGAAUACCGGAUUUUUUUCCUCUUUCUCUCCACAAAGGGGCCCCUCUAACUAAGUAACACCUCUUUGGUUGUCUCUGGGAACACCCAAUGAACCCCAAAUAAGGCAAGGACAAUUUCCUAGAGGACCCUGACCACUAUACAGUGUAAAAGAAUGUGAUUUACAUUUUCCUCUUCACAACCACAUAAAAAACAGCAAUUAGGAAACUGCCACUCUCGUUUUUGAAGCCUAUCCAAGGUGAGGAUCUUCCCCCACAUAGCCUCCCAAGCAAAAAAGACAGCUUUAGUUGGGACCUUGUCCACCCAAAUUCAUCUAACCGGGAAGGCAAGGGUAUUGGGAGUAACCAGCAGAUUGUAAGCAUGUCUGACUCCAAAGGUGCCUUGACCCCCACCUUUCCAUACCAUUGAGUCCUCUACUUGGGAAAUCUUGAAGUCCCUCAGCAUAUUAAACAAAGCUCCUAUUAAAUCCAACUCCCAAUCAUUAGAAUCUCUAGCAAAUCUGAGAUUCCAGCCCCCUUGACCAAGGCUAGAGUCCCACACCUCAUUAACCGUUGCAUUCCUAUGCACCGCCAAGGCAAAUAACUAAGGAAAAAUUCUGGACAACGCCUCGUUACCACACCAGUGAUCAAUCCAGGAUGGUGUCACAAAGACGGAAAUCCAAAGGAAAUAAUUGAGCAAUGAUCUUGUUGAGGCUUGUGAUAGAACUAAACAUUUUAGAAAAUUGAAAGUGUAUGUGAAAACUACAGUUUUCAACUUUUCCUUUUCUUAAUUUCUUUACAUGUUUUGCACAUUUACAACGUUCCGAAUAUUUGUUAUGCUGAAGCUGAAGACUAAACCUCAUGUGGGCAUACAACACCAUUAUUUUCCUUAUUUCCAUCAACACAUGAUCUUAUCUUUGCUUGAUUAGAUAAAUUUGUGGUGCUAUCAAUGCCCUCCACAUCUUAAAUUGCAGUUUAUUUUAAUUGUGUUGGGAAUCAAUUCAAACUAUUUGUUCUUUUUGUUCUUUCUUUCAGUUAAUCAAUCCUGCUGAAACUUUUGGGGACAUUGUCAUUGAUUAUCCGUAAGAUUUUAAGCACUCUUCAGUUUCUAAUGUUUACGCAUAAUUCUAGUUUGUUUUCACCCAUCUGGAAAAAAAAAAAAAAAGAAAAAAAAAGGAAAAAAAAGAAUAAAAAAAGAGGUAGGUUGUUGGGGGAAAGGGGUGGGUAGGGUUGUGCGUUGUCUUGUAGUUUGAUUUGAUGGAGAAAAUCUUAUAUGCUGUUACCUGGGUGGCACUGCAGAUAUGUGGAAUGUACCUCAGCUGCAAUUCAAGCAUUGACAUCGUUCAAGAAAUUAUAUCCUGAGCAUAGAAGGCACGAAAUAGAAAAUUGUAUUUCUAAGGCUGCAAAGUUCAUUGAAGACAGACAGGCUCCUGAUGGCUCUUGGUUUGUUUUAAUUUAUUUAAUUAAUUUUUUUUGCAUCUCUGCACAAGCCCUUGAAAUUGUUCUUUUGCUAUAGCUGCAUGCUCUUGCUAUUUUGUUAUAUCAAUCUCUCAGCUUAAUGUAAGCAGUAUCUAAUAUUUGUAGGGGUUAUUGGGCAGUCAUUAUGUGUGUGCAAUUGAUUUUGAGUAUUUUUGACAGGUAUGGAUCGUGGGGAGUCUGUUUCACUUAUGGUGGGUGGUUUGGAAUAAAGGGAUUGAUAGCUGCUGGAAACACAUACAGUAAUUGCCCCUGCAUUCGUAAGGCUUGUGAUUAUCUGUUGUCCAAGGAGCUUGGUUCAGGUGGUUGGGGGGAGAGUUAUCUGUCAUGCCAGAACAAGGUUUUGAUUUCCAGUCUCUGUGGAAUUUCUUUCCUUUAUAGUUCUAGUGUUUCUCAUGAUGUUUGUUCUUAAUAAAUGCUCCUUAUAAAUCUGCAAAGUCAAGCUUUUAUGAAGAUUGCUAUCAUCUUUGUGGUAGCUCACCAUAGAAUUUAUUGCAGAGCACCAAUAGUGCACCUUUUCUUUGGAAUUAAGUAGAGUUUUUUUCCCAUAGAUCUUACUUGCAUUGAACAACAAUAAGAACCUUGAUUUAUCAUGUAACUUGACACAAGUUAAUGAACUUCAGUAAGAUGUGUUUGGCUGCAUUCUAACCAAUUUUAGGAAUAGCCUAAUCCAAUUCACAUUCAUUUAUUAUCUCUGUUCGUCAUCUAUCUUGGUACUAUUUAUAAUAAUUCAUAUCUACUGCCUUGUAUGGUUGAUUAUUCUAAUGCCUCUUUAAACAGGUGUACACAAAUCUCCCUGAAGAUAAGCCACAUAAUGUCAAUACUGCUUGGGCUAUGUUGGCUCUCAUUGAUGCUGGACAGGUAAAAUUGGAGACUAGUGGUGCUGUUUGAUGCUAAUUUAGCGUCCUCGAUGUUUUUUAUAAUGUGUUGUUAAUUAAAACUUCCUAUACCAUUUUUCUCUGUUUCUCCAUAUUUGGUAUGUUUGUUCUUUGUUGGUGAAAAGAAAAUAAUCAAUCUAUGGUAGGACAUUCUAAUAAGUUGGGGUUUUAGUUAGAAGUCUGGGGUAUUAUGAUAAUUUCAGUGGGAGAGGGUCUAAAAUAUCUAAAUUAUUGUAUUUAGCUCUUGGGCUAUGCUGUAGGGAUACCUCAUUACAAGACUUCCCUCUUUCUAAUAAUUUGGUUCCCUAUCACAAGUUACCUCCUUUGUUUCAGGGAUAUGGGGGAUUUCUCCGCUCCCUUUGUUUAUAUGUCAAUUCUGCAUGCUUUUCUGCUUUUCCAUGACUGGAUAUGGUUCGAGGGCUUUUGUGAAUUCUUAGUUGUUUUUAACUUUAGACAAUUCGUUGCAUUACUUUCUAUUUUUUGUUGUUCUUUUCCUUUUGAAAGGCUGGGAGAGAUCCAAACCCACUACACCGUGCUGCAAGGAUAUUAAUAAAUUCCCAAAUGAAGAAUGGAGAUUUUCCUCAGGAGGUAACUCUUAUAAAUUCAUUGCAUUAUUUUUAAUUUUCUCUGUUGUAUGCAAAAACUACAAUUAGGUGGUCACCUAAUGGCUGGUUCCCCCUGUGAGAAAUCGAAAUUAUUAAGAAUAGGAAGUUAAGGGCUUAUCUGUAGUUAUUCAUGCCCCAUGCUUCUUCCCUGAUUUUCAAAAUUUUUUCCCUUUAUUUUCUGUAAUUUAUCUGCACACACCAAAUGCCUUUUCUCUGGCAUUCUUUUUUCUUUUUCCUUUUUCAUGAACAGGAAACAAGGUUCUAAAAACUGCAUCCAAAGAGGCCUUUGUCAUUCUGUUAAAGUUGCUUGGUAAAAGUUAAUGGAAUAAUUUGACGAUUGAGGGUAAUACUUCAAAGACAUUGUAACAGUAUCAGGCUUAUGAGCAUUUAAUUGAUCCUUUGUAGCUCUUGAAAACGUGUACCAAAUGUGAAACUUGUCAUGAGAAUCAUUAGGAAAACCCCAGGAAGCUCGAAAACAAAUGCUAGGAAUUUGGAUAAGAAAGUUGAUCUGCAACCCCAUAAAUAUUUUAGUAAUUUGUUUCAAUUAUAUAGAUUACAUGUCUGGUUAGAAAAUGAGUAUGCAUGCUGAUUCCCAUUGGAACAACUUUGCUGACUCCCAUGCCUGAAUAGGUUUAAUAGCUUCAACAUUUCUUCAUACAGGAAAUCAUGGGAGUCUUCAACAAGAACUGUAUGAUCAGCUAUUCUGCAUAUCGGAACAUUUUUCCUAUAUGGGCACUUGGAGAAUACCGAUAUCGGGUGCUUCAUUCUUCCUGAAAAUGUAAUUAUAACGUUCCAAAGAAUGAGAUGUAUGCUUGUCUAUUGAGUGUAGCCCUUGUCAUGUUUAUAGCGAAUAAGGGUCCCCGCUGGGACUUUCCUGUUUUGUGUUGCUUGAAUUUUCUAGGAAAUUAAAGAAACAUUAUUGGGUUUAAGAUAAUAUUUGGCUAUAGGGUCUAAGAAAAUCUGUAAGAAACCUAAGCUUAUCUUGAUUUUGAUCCAUGGAAAGGCAUGUACGUUGGGGAGGCCCUUGCCAUGAAAAUUUAUGUAAUUGACAAUUGUGGAAAGGGUUGUGUGUGUAGUUUGAGUCAAAAGAAUUUUACAGGUCUAGAAUGUAAAAAUCAUGCAUAGUUUAAAGGAAUUCAUUACAUCUAUGAUGUUAGGAACUUUUCUUCCCAAUCCACUUCUUGAUAGAUAUUGUCUGUUUUGAAUUGGGAUUUUAAAAUGUAUUUGUAAAGGGGAAUUCCAUAUAUAUAGUAUCAAAAAUUUCUAUUUCUAGUUAAUGUGGGAUUUCAUAUUAAGCAGAAUUGAGG
rnacentral:lncRNA from 1 species